rnacentral:rRNA from 1 species
CCCUUAGAGUUUGAUCCUGGCUCAGGACGAACGCUGGCGGCGUGCUUAACACAUGCAAGUCGAACGGGGUGUUUAUUUCGGUAAACACCAAGUGGCGAACGGGUGAGUAACGCGUAAGCAAUCUACCUUCAAGAUGGGGACAACACUUCGAAAGGGGUGCUAAUACCGAAUGAAUGUAAGAGUAUCGCAUGAGACACUUACUAAAGGAGGCCUCUGAAAUAAGCUUCCGCUUGAAGAUGAGCUUGCGUCUGAUUAGCUAGUUGGUGAGGGUAAAGGCCCACCAAGGCGACGAUCAGUAGCCGGUCUGAGAGGAUGAACGGCCACAUUGGGACUGAGACACGGCCCAGACUCCUACGGGAGGCAGCAGUGGGGAAUCUUCCGCAAUGGGCGAAAGCCUGACGGAGCAACGCCGCGUGAACGAUGAAGGUCUUAGGAUCGUAAAGUUCUGUUGUUAGGGACGAAGGGCAAGGGUUAUAAUACAGCCUUUGUUUGACGGUACCUAACGAGGAAGCCACGGCUAACUACGUGCCAGCAGCCGCGGUAAUACGUAGGCGGCAAGCGUUGUCCGGAAUUAUUGGGCGUAAAGGGAGCGCAGGCGGGAAACUAAGCGGAUCUUAAAAGUGCGGGGCUCAACCCCGUGAUGGGGUCCGAACUGGUUUUCUUGAGUGCAGGAGAGGAAAGCGGAAUUCCCAGUGUAGCGGUGAAAUGCGUAGAUAUUGGGAAGAACACCAGUGGCGAAGGCGGCUUUCUGGACUGUAACUGACGCUGAGGCUCGAAAGCUAGGGUAGCGAACGGGAUUAGAUACCCCGGUAGUCCUAGCCGUAAACGAUGGAUACUAGGUGUGGGAGGUAUCGACCCCUUCCGUGCCGGAGUUAACGCAAUAAGUAUCCCGCCUGGGGAGUACGGCCGCAAGGU